rnacentral:misc_RNA from 1 species
AGAAAAGCAAACCAUCACAUUUCCUCUUGAACUUGAAGCUGUAUAGCAGGGCCACUCUGGUUUUUGCCUCAAAUCCCAGAGCUUGACAUCAUGGUCAAAUGACGAAGUAGCAAAUAUGAAGGGAGAAUAGUGAGCAAAUUUAGCAACAUUAAUGGGUUCUCGAUGCAUAUUAGUAAACAGCUGUAUGCGUCUUCUACUACUAAUGUCAUACAGAGCAACAUCCUUUGAGUACCCACUGGCAAGAAACUGAUCAUCUGUGGAAUUGACAUGAACAGAAGUCAAUGGCUCAAAAUCAUCAAAGCCAACCACUCCAGUGCUGCAAUUUAUGUCUGCAACAUUUGGUAGCAUAUAAUUGAUGUCAAACAACUUCAAGCUACCAUUAUCAGAACCAGCUAGCAGCUUUGAUGGAUACAUCUUGAGCCAACAGAGACCCAAAACACUGUUCAUUGCUCCUGUGGAAGGAAUAAAACCAACAAUCUUCCCAUUUUCAUGAUUCACGACGACUAUUUCGCCAUCUAGAGUCCCAAAAACCAUAAGACUAGAAUCAGAUGGAUGAUAUUCAAACUGCCUAGGGCGAAGCUGCUCACGUCCUUCUUUAUGCAUAUUGCUGAAGUUAGACAAAGGAUGCAAAAGGGGCCAUGCAGUAGACCCAAGUUUGGCAGCACUAAGAGCCCGUGGAAAGACACAUUGGCUCUUUCCAUAAGGAUAUUGCUUCUUUGGCUUACGGAAAUUAGGGCAAUAGGCACCACUUGCUCCCAUUUCACGAUUCUGCAGAAUGCUAACAACACUUUCUUUGUGCUGUCGGUUAUAGGGUAAGUACUCAUAAUAUUUUGAAAAGACGAUCUUUGCCAUUUUCUUGUCCAUCUUUCCAAUGGGCAAAUUAUCUAAAACCUUCAAACGAGGCAAUGAAGCAAUUAUGUACUCCCUAUAAUGUUUCUCGAAGCAUAUAAGUGAUGGGCGGUGUGAGCUAUAAUUCUUCAACGUAGUAGUUUUAUUCUUGAAAUCCCAUGUGCACCCAUUUGCAACGAACUCGUGUACAUCUUCAAUCUAUCAUUCGCCAAAAGAAACCUCAUUUUGUGAUUUGACUUUUCCAUUCAAAUUAGGAAGGAAAUUAGAUGAUAGUUCUAGCAAACCUAUUCUCUGAAGGCAGCUUGAAAUGUCAGCUUCACUAGCAACUGAAAACUCGUCACUUCCUCCGUGAACCUCAUUAAUCAUUGAUGCAUUUGUGGGCGAAAUUAAGUUGCCAUGUAACCCAUCAGCAUGAGAAACUUGAAUAGGAUCAUGUUCAGCAUCAAAAUGCAGUGGUUCAAUGGAUGAACCCAUAUUCAAUUGAGCCGAAACAAGUUUCUCACAUGCAGUAUUUCCCUUCUUACCAAAUGAUGCAGGACAUGGCCCAGUGUCCUUGCAACAUAAACAAUUUUGGAACCGUAGUUCUACCAAAGAAGGAAGUUUCAAUAAAGCAGCCGUAGUUGUCCAAAGAUCAACUACUCUUGUCUCACACAUUGAGAGAUGCAUCAGAUUUGGCAUGCAUGAAAAACAGUCACCAUGCAAACUAGUGAUUGAAGUACAGAAAUCCAGAUUUAAGGUGUGUAAUUGCAUAAAGUUUCCAACCAUGUUCAAUUUUUGGAUGUGGGUGGUCUUCAAGUUCAAAAUUUUGCAAGAUAAGCCAUGCUGACAUAGAUCCCACAAAAAGUCCUCUUCCAAUGACACGUCCUGGAGAUUGACAACUCGGAGUUUUAGAUUAAUUGCUUGCAACAAGGACAUAAUAUGUUCUUCAUUCAAAUUGCAAGGUGAUUCAUGUAGUAUGUCAACAGCAUCAAUAUCAGAAGAGUCUACUGCCAGGAAUGUAUCAAUCAGGGGAGAAAUAUCAUCAUCCUUAAGCUGAUUUAGUGAAACCACAAUGCUACACUUCUUCUGGCAACACUUUUGUAUUUUGGCCUUGGAGAAACAUGAUAGCACUGCAGAAUUGGGUAGCACUUCACGCCAACUGCAGGAAUCAAGAUACCGAGAUUCUAAGCUGGAGAUAUCCAUGCAAAUGGUUGUAUUGCUUCUUCUGGCUAUUCACAUCAAUGGAGCAUAAUUAGGUGUGGUCAAUGGAUGAGAGACUUUGGUAAAGCUGCAGAAUUUUGGUGGGACUUGGGCAGGGGGAGUGGGAUUCAAUACAAAUAUAAGCGAAGUGUCCUCUCAGUCAAAAAAAGUAAGAGUGACAAAACACAUGUCGAUCGGACAAACACAAGAGUGCUCAUAUCAGUUAAAC